GUAGGGAAUAUUGCACAAUGGAGGAAACUCUGAUGCAGCGACGCCGCGUGAGUGAUGAAGGCCUUCGGGUCGUAAAGCUCUGUCGCAGGGGAAUAACACAAUGAAGGUACCCUGUAAGAAAGGAUCGGCUAACUUCGUGCCAGCAGCCGCGGUAAGACGAGGGAUCCUAGCGUUGUUCGGAAUCAUUGGGCGUAAAGCGGAUGUAGGUGGCUAUGUAAGUCAGAUGUGAAAGCCUGGGGCUCAACCCCAGAAGUGCAUUUGAUACUGCGUAGCUUGAGUGUCGGAGAGGUUACUAGAAUUGUUGGUGUAGUGGUGAAAUACGUAGAUAUCAACAGGAAUACCGGAGGCGAAGGCGGGUAACUGGCCGAACACUGACACUGAGGUGCGAAAGCGUGGGGAGCAAACAGGAUUAGAAACCCGGGUAGUCC
rnacentral:rRNA from 1 species